UCCACCUGGCUUACCUCUUCAGUUGUUUGUUUUGGUUUGUAUCGCCAAAGCAGAUUGUGGGUUUCGUGUGUUGCGUACCUAAGUGAUGGUAUUGUCCCGAUUGAUCAUAGUUGCUUUCGUCUUGUGCCAUUUGCUUGGCAUUAGAUGAACCAUGAAGCAGGCCCUUUGAUCCAGAAUGUUAAUGUUAUGUUGAUGUUGUGGCCCAUUGUGCUUUUGCUUGGUAUCCUGGAUACGGAACAUGAUAUGGGCACGGGGUCUCAUGGGAUCCUUGUUCUGCCCUCGGUUAGCGUUUACACGUCUCUUGAUACGACUUGCCCAGCCCGCAUUGGCACGUACCAGCGGUGGGUUAUGUCAAAGAGAUGUGUUUGUGCGACUCUUAAUACGACUUGCCCAGCCCGCAUUGGCUCGUACCAGCGGGUGGGUUUUGUCAAAGAGUUGUGCAUCUCUCUGAAUGACUGCCUUGCCUGCAUUGGCUCGUACCAGCGGGAUGGUUAUGUCAAAGAGGAAUGCUACCUGGUUGAUCCUGCCAGUAGUCAUAUGCUUGUCUCAA
rnacentral:misc_RNA from 1 species